GCCCUCGUAGCUCAAUGGUAGAGCGCGUCACGUUCGUACCACCGCUUCAAUACAUGAUCAGUUCAGCAGCUAACAACCUUCCAGUAGUAAUGACGAGGUUGCCGGGUAAGAUAGUCACUACAACGACUAUCAAACCAAAAACUAAUAAGUAAAUAGUUCGAUUCCGUCCGAGGGCA